GACCUAAUAGAUAUAUACAGAACUCUCCACCCCCAAAUCCACCGAAUAUACAUUCUUCUCAGCACCACAUCACACUUAUUCUAAAACUGGCCACAUAAUUUCAAGUAAAACACUCCUCAGCAAAUGCAAAAGAAUGGAAAUCUAACAGUCUCUCAGACCACAUUUCAAUCAAAUUACAACUCAAGAUUAAGAAACUCCCUCAAAACCACACAACUACAUUGAAACUGACCAACCUGCUCCUGAAUGACUACUAGGAAAAUAACAAAACUAAGGAGAAAUAAACAAGUUCUUUGAAACAAAAGAGAACAAAGACACAAUGUACCAAAAUCUCUGGGACACAGCUAAAGCACUGUUUAGAGGGAAGCUUAUAACACUAAAUGCCCACAGGAGAAGGCAGGAAAGAUACAAAAUUGACAACCUAACAUCACAGUUAAAAGAGCUAUAGAAGCAAAAGCAAAAGAAUUGAAAAGCUAUCAGAGGACAAAAAAUAAGUGAAAUCAGAGCAGAACUGAAGGAGAUAGAGACAUGCAAAACCCUUCAACCAAUCAAUGAAUUCAGGAGCUGGUUUUUGAAAACACUAACAAAAUAGACCACUAGCCAGACUAAUAAAGAAGAAAAGAUAGAAGAAUCAAAUAGACACAAUAAAAAAUAAUAAAGGGGAUAUCACCACUGAUCCCACAGAAAUACACACUACCAUCAGAAAAUACUAUAAACACCUCUAUGCGAAUAAGCUAGAAAAUGUAGAAGAAAUGGAUAAAUUCCUGAACACAUAUGCUCUCCCAAGACUAAACCAGGAAGAAUUUGAAUUCCAGAAUAGAUAAAUAAAAGUUCUGAAACUGAGACAGUAUAGCCUACGAAGCAAAAACAGCCCAUGACUAGACUGAUUCAUGGCCUAUUUCUACCAGAGAAACAAAGAGGAGCUGAUGCCAUUCCUUCUGAAAGUAUUCCAAACAAUAUAAAAAGAAGGAUCCUCCCUAAUUCAUUUUAUGAUUCAGCAUCAUCUUGAUACCAAAAC
rnacentral:lncRNA from 1 species